rnacentral:rRNA from 1 species
CCCGCCGGCGACCGGCGCACGGGUGAGUAACACGUAUGAAACCUGCCCGUAGCAGGGGGAUAAGCGGAAGAAAUUCCGUCUAAUACCGCGUAAUAUCUUUCGGGGGCAUCCCUGAGGGAUUAAAGGAAGCGAUUCCGGCUACGGAUGGGCAUGCGGCGCAUUAGCUAGUCGGCGGGGUAACGGCCCACCGAGGCGACGAUGCGUAGGGGUUCUGAGAGGAAGGUCCCCCACACUGGUACUGAGACACGGACCAGACUCCUACGGGAGGCAGCAG